CGCCACUCUCUUCUCGGUGGUCGGGACGGGGCGGGCCUGGUCCUCCUCACUGCUGGUGUAACGAGUACACCGAGCAGCGUCUUCUUCCGGCGGAUCUUCCCCCGCAGGAUUCUCCAUCCCAGGUGCCAGUGACACAUACACUGCGCACCGGUCAACAUCUCCGAUCUGCAAAAGUAACAAAGACAAGUCGGCAGCAGACAAUAACAAAUGCUAAGGCAAAAUAAUCAGUAAGAUACCUUAGGUGCUGGUCGCCCCAACUUGAAGGCUUGCACCC
rnacentral:lncRNA from 1 species